GCAGCGAGAAGCUGCGGGGGCGCCGCUGGUGCCCAGCCCGGGGGUCGUGGGACGGCCCUGCCCGCCGCCCGCUGCUGGCGGCUUGGCAAGUCCGCUCAGCUGUUACUGCUUAGCUUUCCUCUUCCUUUUUUUCUUUUUUUUCCCUAUUUUUAAUUUUUUUUUUCCUUUAGCCACCUUCCGUCCCCCUCGUUCCGUAUUUCUUUUUCUAAACUACCUGCUAAAUUUUAUUAGCAAAUUGUUUUCAAAAGCUUGGCUGGGUCCGCAGUCCGUGGGUCCAAAAAUGUCAGCGUGCGGAACGGAGCUGGGGAGUGCUGCUGAGCGAACAGUUUACAGAAGCAAGUACCAAGUACUGGGUCACUUGCCGAGCUGGCGCGGAUUUUCGCUCGCCCACCAUCGACAAAGUUGUUUUGUGUCUCUGCAUCAGAGCUUUCAUCCUGGGACAUAGUAAGGGGAGGAUUCGUAGGUAUUGGUCCCUGAGCAAUCUCAUGAAGCGUUCAUUCAAAAUGGUGCAUUAUUUAUUUUAAAGCAUCUUUACACCCGAACUUGCAAGAAAAAUACUCUUCUCAACAUCCCCCCCAUCCUUUAGAAAAUAGUGCAAACCGUCACGCACAAUGUUUUGAAAGGAAACAGUGGAUUUGCCUUUGUAUUUUUUGUCGGGGAAAGGCGGGGAAUCUUAUUCAGCAUCACUGCCCACUGCCUUCAAGCUGUUUGGCAUGGAGAGUUUCUAUUGAAAAUCAAGAUAGAGACCUUUAGAUCAGCAUAGCAUCUCUAUUCAGUGGGAAAUCUUAAAAAAAGAAAAAAAAAAUCUUUUCCAGAACAAGGCUUUAAUCAUAUGGUGUGAGAAGGGAUGAUCGACUUGUAACUGAUGAUCGACUGAAAGGAUGAUGACUUCUAACAAGGGCAUAUGAUGAUUUCUAAUCUCCACAAAAAGAAAGUUUUAGAGUUUCACAGAGCUGCUCCAUAUUGAUCAGGCCAGUAAGUUCUUGCUUCUUAAAAAGCUAGCAUCUUAAAAAGGUAGCUUCAGUAAAUACUUAAAAAAAUUAUUUAUGAUAUUUAGUAUUUCCUUUUUCUUGGUUUCCUUUCCAAUGACAUCAGGUAAUAAUUUUAUUGUCUUGAGAUCAGAAAUCUCAACAAUUUUUCUGAUUUAUGCAGUCUGCAGAGUCCCAGACUCCCUCUUUAGCCAUAACCAGCAUUCACUGGUGUGAAUUAAGCUGUUGACUUCUCUGAAGAGGUAUGUAUGUAACACCUACAAAAAAGAAAGAAAGAAAUUUACAAAAGAUAGAUCUUACUAUUCUUGACUUCUUGGUAAUAAAAAUUAAAAAACUGUAAUUAAAAAGUUGUUUGUAGUAAACCAGCAUAGACAGAUAAUAAUUUAAUUUAAUGAAAUUUUAAUAAUUUGCUUUAAUAAAAUUGUAAGAGCUGUCA